AACUAUGGCCAUGCUACCCUGAACAAGCCCGAUCCCAUCUGAUCUCAGAAGCUAAGCAGGGUCGGGCCUGGUAAGUACUUAGAUGGAAGGCCACCAUGGAAGACCAGGUGCUAUAGGCA
rnacentral:rRNA from 1 species